rnacentral:rRNA from 1 species
UACGAAGGGUGCAAGCGUUACUCGGAAUUACUGGGCGUAAAGCGUGCGUAGGUGGUUUGUUAAGUCUGUUGUGAAAGCCCCGGGCUCAACCUGGGAAUGGCAAUGGAUACUGGCAAGCUAGAGUGCGGUAGAGGGUAGUGGAAUUCCCGGUGUAGCGGUGAAAUGCGUAGAGAUCGGGAGGAACACCAGUGGCGGAGGCGGCUACCUGGACCAGCACUGACACUGAGGCACGAAAGCGUGGGGAGCAAACAGG